GGUAGAGCCUGAUGAACAACUUCCGCAUCUCGUCAUACACCCAAAUCAAAAUGGCAUGUGGGACAGCCACAAACCAGUACUGAGCCCUGGAAACAAAAAGAGGAAAGUGAGACCUGGCUUGUCCAAAGAGAUAGCCCAGACCCUGGUCAACAGUGGAGGCAGGGGUGGAGGCUUCUCUCUUAGUUUUACCUGCCUCAAUAGACAUGACAUAUGUGUUACACCACACAGCACAGGCCUGCCAAGGUCCUUACUUAACCUGAGCUGGGACUGCUAAAAGAAGCCUUGGUCUUUGAGGAAGCCUGCUGGAUGAGAGUGGUGAUGGUCCAGUUAGGACUGGAAGAUGAAGGGAUGGGUUUCCAUAGCUUGGGAUCCAUUUAAUCUCUUUGGGAAAACUGGAAGAAGAGCCUGUCGGAACCCUAGUGUUUAUUCCCAUUAUGAUAGCUCAGAAGAGAAGCCAGCUUCUUGCUCGGUGCCACUGAAGGUCAACUCACCUGAGCAUGGUAAAGCUCAGAGCUGUGACACUCCCAAGACCAUAGGAAAGGAUCAGCGCAACGAUGAUCUGUGAGAUGAUCCCCACCCAGAUGACUUUGUUUCUGCAACACACACAAAAGCAAACAGAUGCUGAAUUUCCAAGGUCAUGCCCCCAACAGAGCAUGCCACAGGCCCAACCAACACCUCAUAUAUUACAGAAACGGGUAUAACCCAGAGGAGGAAAAUAGCACUCACCUUGAUCCCCGCACUCCGACAUUUGGAGACCGCAUCUGGCACAGUAGACCGAGGAGGGUCAAUCAUGGACAGAAGCCCCACAAAGCAGAGAUUGGAAGUGGGGAAGUUUAUGGAGUCUACAUCAAAUGUGUAGCUUUGGGGAAACUCGUCUGCUGGCAAGUAAAGGUGACAGAAACCUGGAAGAGAAAAGCACUUUGGGGGCUGGGAAUUAAUCCCAGGACCUCACACAUGUUAGGCAAAUGCACCACCACUUAAACUACACUCCAGCCCCCCAUGUUCUUCUUUAUAUGAUCAUGUGAAGUCGUGGCUACUCUGCUGGCUAGUGGCACUUCUUUCAUGACUCUGGGGAGAUGAAUACAGGCGUUCUAUAACACUCACCCAACACACGCUCUCCCAGACCACCCAGCUCCAUGUAGGCCGUGUGGAAGGCAUCGGCAGAGCUCUUGUCCAGUGGCUGCUCCUGGCCGUUGAUCAUGAUGGUGCUGCACUUCUCUAAGAUCCUCUCAGGGGCCCCUUUCAUCACCAUGAGGAAGCGCUUGUCAUUUGGGUCCUCGGUCUCAUGGAUGGAGAGCUGGGAGGGCAUGGAUUGGGCAGGUUAGCAAUGGCAUCUUAUCCAUGAUUCUUCCAAUUAGCAACAGGACAAUUGGGGGUGGGGGGACAUUGUUUUCUUGCCAUUUGCCCUCAGAGGAUAAAAGAGGGGGAAGAGUUAUGACACUCCCAAGCAUAGUCUGUCUUUUGGGAUUUGUAACUAAUUAAAAAAACUAGAUUUGGGUGACCCAGAAGGGCAUGGUGAGCUGGAACCCACACUAGGUACAGCUUGUGUUUCAGACACUGGCCCUUUAAAGCCCUUUGAGGAGGUCAGGUGUGCUCAUGUUUGAGUAAGCUAUGGACAAUGAUGUUGCAAGAGUUGGGACUAGAAAAGCCCUUGUCUCACUUCUCCCUCCUAGUGAUGAAUAGCCAUAUUUUGCAUGUGCUUGUUAAACACACACACACACACACACACACACACACACACACACACCAUGUACACCUACACACACAUGUGCACCUUGGUUUUUGAGAACCUCUCAUUGGCUUGGCGUUGAUCCACUGGCUAGGCUGGUUGACCAGGAAAUUCCAGAGAUUUGUCUGUCUCUGCACCCCCCCCCCAGACCCAGCUUUUCACAUGGGUCCUGUAUAUCAGACUUGGGUCCUUGAGUUGGCCAGGCAAGCACUUUGCUGGCUUAGACAUCUCCCCAGCCUUGAACAGCCAUUUGUAAAUGCUGAACUGCCAAGGUUAGUAGGAAUUCCUGUGCCCCCCCUGACUCAGGAUGGAUCCAGUUUUACUAUCUGGAUAUAAUGGGAGAUGGUGGAAAUAUAGAGAAGAAGGCACUGUUAAAAGCAGUCAUUUCUCCUUCUCCUUCUCCUUUUCCUCCUCCUCCUCCUCCUCCUCCUUCUAAAUAGUGCUUAAUAUGAAUUACACUCAGAGCUGUGUAAAUGCAAGGCGGACUCUCUACCAUUGAAUCAGAUGCUCCAGGCCAGGAAGCUUUUGAAAUCUUUUUUGGAGAAAAUGAGAUAUACAGAAAAUUGCAACUGCAUUGGGAUUAACAGUUGAUUCAAAUCAGUAGUUGCUAGUCCCUAAUAGAGGAGUUAGAGAGGGACUGAAGGAGUUGGGUUUGCAACCCCAUAGGAAGAACUACAAUAUCAACCAACCAGACCCCCCCAGAACUCUCAGGGAUUAAGCCAUCAACAAAGGAGUACACGUGGCUCCAGCUGCAUAUGUAGCAGAGGAUGGCCUUGUCAUGCAUCAAUGGGAGGAGAAGUCCUUGGUCCUAUGAAGUCUCAAUAGAUGCCCCAGUGUAGGGGAAUCUAGGGUGGGGAAGUGGGAGUGGGUGGAUGGGUGGAGGAACAUGCUCAUAGAAAUAGGGGGAGGGAGGAUGUGAUAGGGUGUUUCUGAGAGGGAGGGAAACCAGGAAAAGGGAUAACAUUUGAAAUGUAAAUAAAGGAAAUAUCCAAUAAAAAUAAUAG